GUACACAAAAAUGCACAUAUUGUGAGCUCGAUGAGUAGGGCGGGACACGUGGUAUCCUGUCUGAAUAUGGGGGGACCAUCCUCCAAGGCUAAAUACUCCUGACUGACCGAUAGUGAACCAGUACCGUGAGGGAAAGGCGAAAAGAACCCCGGCGAGGGGAGUGAAAAAGAACCUGAAACCGUGUACGUACAAGCAGUGGGAGCCUCUUUAUGGGGUGACUGCGUACCUUUUGUAUAAUGGGUCAGCGACUUAUAUUCUGUAGCAAGGUUAACCGAAUAGGGGAGCCGAAGGGAAACCGAGUCUUAACUGGGCGUUAAGUUGCAGGGUAUAGACCCGAAACCCGGUGAUCUAGCCAUGGGCAGGUUGAAGGUUGGGUAACACUAACUGGAGGACCGAACCGACUAAUGUUGAAAAAUUAGCGGAUGACUUGUGGCUGGGGGUGAAAGGCCAAUCAAACCGGGAGAUAGCUGGUUCUCCCCGAAAGCUAUUUAGGUAGCGCCUCGUGAAUUCAUCUCCGGGGGUAGAGCACUGUUUCGGCAAGGGGGUCAUCCCGACUUACCAACCCGAUGCAAACUGCGAAUACCGGAGAAUGUUAUCACGGGAGACACACGGCGGGUGCUAACGUCCGUCGUGAAGAGGGAAACAACCCAGACCGCCAGCUAAGGUCCCAAAGUCAUGGUUAAGUGGGAAACGAUGUGGGAAGGCCCAGACAGCCAGGAUGUUGGCUUAGAAGCAGCCAUCAUUUAAAGAAAGCGUAAUAGCUCACUGGUCGAGUCGGCCUGCGCGGAAGAUGUAACGGGGCUAAACCAUGCACCGAAGCUGCGGCAGCGACACUAUGUGUUGUUGGGUAGGGGAGCGUUCUGUAAGCCUGUGAAGGUGGCCUGUGAGGGUUGCUGGAGGUAUCAGAAGUGCGAAUGCUGACAUAAGUAACGAUAAAGCGGGUGAAAAGCCCGCUCGCCGGAAGACCAAGGGUUCCUGUCCAACGUUAAUCGGGGCAGGGUGAGUCGACCCCUAAGGCGAGGCCGAAAGGCGUAGUCGAUGGGAAACAGGUUAAUAUUCCUGUACUUGGUGUUACUGCGAAGGGGGGACGGAGAAGGCUAUGUUGGCCGGGCGACGGUUGUCCCGGUUUAAGCGUGUAGGCUGGUUUUCCAGGCAAAUCCGGAAAACCAAGGCUGAGGCGUGAUGACGAGGCACUACGGUGCUGAAGCGACAAAUGCCCUGCUUCCAGGAAAAGCCUCUAAGCAUCAGGUAACAUCAAAUCGUACCCCAAACCGACACAGGUGGUCAGGUAGAGAAUACCAAGGCGCUUGAGAGAACUCGGGUGAAGGAACUAGGCAAAAUGGUGCCGUAACUUCGGGAGAAGGCACGCUGAUAUGUAGGUGAAGCGACUUGCUCGUGGAGCUGAAAUCAGUCGAAGAUACCAGCUGGCUGCAACUGUUUAUUAAAAACACAGCACUGUGCAAACACGAAAGUGGACGUAUACGGUGUGACGCCUGCCCGGUGCCGGAAGGUUAAUUGAUGGGGUUAGCGGUAACGCGAAGCUCUUGAUCGAAGCCCCGGUAAACGGCGGCCGUAACUAUAACGGUCCUAAGGUAGCGAAAUUCCUUGUCGGGUAAGUUCCGACCUGCACGAAUGGCGUAAUGAUGGCCAGGCUGUCUCCACCCGAGACUCAGUGAAAUUGAACUCGCUGUGAAGAUGCAGUGUACCCGCGGCAAGACGGAAAGACCCCGUGAACCUUUACUAUAGCUUGACACUGAACAUUGAGCCUUGAUGUGUAGGAUAGGUGGGAGGCUUUGAAGUGUGGACGCCAGUCUGCAUGGAGCCGACCUUGAAAUACCACCCUUUAAUGUUUGAUGUUCUAACGUUGGCCCGUAAUCCGGGUUGCGGACAGUGUCUGGUGGGUAGUUUGACUGGGGCGGUCUCCUCCUAAAGAGUAACGGAGGAGCACGAAGGUUGGCUAAUCCUGGUCGGACAUCAGGAGGUUAGUGCAAUGGCAUAAGCCAGCUUGACUGCGAGCGUGACGGCGCGAGCAGGUGCGAAAGCAGGUCAUAGUGAUCCGGUGGUUCUGAAUGGAAGGGCCAUCGCUCAACGGAUAAAAGGUACUCCGGGGAUAACAGGCUGAUACCGCCCAAGAGUUCAUAUCGACGGCGGUGUUUGGCACCUCGAUGUCGGCUCAUCACAUCCUGGGGCUGAAGUAGGUCCCAAGGGUAUGGCUGUUCGCCAUUUAAAGUGGUACGCGAGCUGGGUUUAGAACGUCGUGAGACAGUUCGGUCCCUAUCUGCCGUGGGCGCUGGAGAACUGAGGGGGGCUGCUCCUAGUACGAGAGGACCGGAGUGGACGCAUCACUGGUGUUCGGGUUGUCAUGCCAAUGGCACUGCCCGGUAGCUAAAUGCGGAAGAGAUAAGUGCUGAAAGCAUCUAAGCACGAAACUUGCCCCGAGAUGAGUUCUCCCUGACUCCUUGAGAGUCCUGAAGGAACGUUGAAGACGACGACGUUGAUAGGCCGGGUGUGUAAGCGCAGCGAUG
rnacentral:rRNA from 1 species